rnacentral:rRNA from 1 species
AUUGAACGCUGGCGGCAGGCCUAACACAUGCAAGUCGAACGGUAACAGGAAGCAGCUUGCUGCUUUGCUGACGAGUGGCGGACGGGAGAGUAAUGUCUGGGAAACUGCCUGAUGGAGGGGGAUAACUACUGGAAACGGUAGCUAAUACCGCAUAACGUCGCAAGACCAAAGAGGGGGACCUUCUGGCCUCUUGCCAUCGGAUGUGCCCAGAUGGGAUUAGCUAGUAGGUGGGGUAACGGCUCACCUAGGCGACGAUCCCUAGCUGGUCUGAGAGGAUGACCCGCCACACUGGAACUGAGACACGGUCCAGACUCCUACGGGAGGCAGCAGUGGGGAAUAUUGCACAAAGGGCGCAAGCCUGAUGCAGCCAUGCCGCGUGUAUGAAGAAGGCCUUCGGGUUGUAAAGUACUUUCAGCGGGGAGGAAGGGAGUAAAGUUAAUACCUUUGCUCAUUGACGUUACCCGCAGAAGAAGCACCGGCUAACUCCGUG